ACCAACAGGGCAGGCGGUGUGUCCCUUAGUCCCAGCUACUCGGGAGGUUGCCACCAGCGGAUCGCUUGAGCCCAGGAAUACUGGGCUGUAUUACAGUAUGAUGACAGAGUGGCCACAGUAAGUUCGACAUUAAUGUGGUGACCUCUGGAGAGCUGGGGACCACCAGGUUGCCUAAGGACAGGUGAAUUGGCCCAGGUCAGAAAUGGAGCAUGUCCAAACUCCCAUGCUGAUGAGUAGUAGGAGCAUACCUAUGAAUAGCCACCACACACCAGCCUGGCAACACAGCGAGACCCUGCCUCU
rnacentral:SRP_RNA from 1 species